rnacentral:rRNA from 1 species
AUUGAACGCUGGCGGCAGGCCUAACACAUGCAAGUCGAACGAGUGGCAGACGGGUGAGUAAUGUCUGGGAAACUGCCUGCUGGAGGGGGAUAACUACUGAAAACGGUAGAUAAUAACGCAUACCAUCGGAUGGUCCAAGAGGGGAUUAGAUAGUAGGUGGGGUAAAGGCUCACCUAGUCGAAGAUCCCUAGCUGGUCUGAGAGGAUGACCAGCCACACUGGAACUGAGACACGGUCCAGACUCCUACGGGAGGCAGCGGUGGGGAAGAGUGCACAAUGGGCGCAAGCCUGAUGCAGCCAUGCCGCGUGUAUGAAGAAGGCCUUCGGGUUGUAAAGUACUUUCAGCGGGGAGGCGUUACCCGCAGAAGAAGCACCGGCUAACUCCGUGCCAGCAGCCGCGGUAAUUC